CACGGGACCCGGGAUCGGUUGCAGCCGAGUGCGCGCGUAUUAUUCCCGCUCUCGGCUCGGAGUCUGAAGCUCGUUGCAGCAUCCUGCUUAUUCCGCGGAAUUGUGGCAAAUCGUUAAAUCUGUCAGAGUGGAAUUAUAAUAACUACGUUACCGCACGACCGGUUCUACCAAUUCAUGUUUCCAUUCGGCGGCCGGCAUCAUGGUCUAUUGCUCACGACGCAUCUUCCGUAAAGCGAAGACUGCGCUUCCACGGAGAAGUCCUUUUUGACAGUCUUGGCGUUUUCUUGGCAGUUUAUCUUAAGCCCUGUCUGUAUGGUACUUUUACAGACACCACCUUGCUAGUUGUAUAGAGGAUUUGUUUUUUUUUCAUCAGGCACCGAAAAGUUUUCCUCAGCAAGAUACCCCCAUAAACGUGGGAUAAAGAUUGAUGAAAACAUAGUCGCCGCGUGGGAGAGCCAAAUCGCUCUCCCUAGAUGCCCCUUGCCUGGGAGUUUGCAAGCGUAUGGUGGAAUUUUCCAGAGGUUACAUGACAUGGGACAUCACAACAGAUUGAAUGCAAAAACAGAUGUGGAAUCCAGCCGAAAGUCAUGCCGCGCCUGCCGGUUGUCUGCUUACUUCCCCGCCGCCGUGUGACCCUGCUGGUCCUGCAGCCUGGUCAGCGCCUGGUCCACUUGGCGCUUCCGCGACAGCGCCCCGCGUCGACCAUCGCGGUGGCUAUUGCCCUCGCGGUGUUUUUCACCGCCUUCUUAACCCCUAGUGGGUAUUUGCUGAGCAAUCUGAACCAGAACCGAAGACAGUAGUGGGAGAAGGUGUAGAGCAGCUGUUUACGUCCAGCAAACUUUCAGAAAACGCUGUGGCUUCUUUAAAUGCGCAAAAGUUCUUAGUUGGAUUGAUGAUGCAACCAUUGUGGGUAUUCACUUUCAUAACCGCAUGCUUAUGGUGACUGUUUUGCACUUUUUUGGUAUUGUGCGUCAUAGAGUUAUACAGUCACUUAAGAAUGUUAAAUAAA